rnacentral:rRNA from 1 species
UGGGGAAUAUUGGACAAUGGGCGAAAGCCUGAUCCAGCCAUGCCGCGUGUGUGAAGAGGGUCUUCGGAUUGUAAAGCACUUUAAGUUGGGAGGAAGGGCAGUAACCUAAUACGUUGCUGUCUUGACGUUACCGACAGAAUAAGCACCGGCUAACUCUGUGCCAGCAGCCGCGGUAAUACAGGGGGUGCAAGCGUUAAUCGGAAUUACUGGGCGUAAAGCGCGCGUAGGUGGUUUGUUAAGUUGGAUGUGAAAGCCCCGGGCUCAACCUGGGAACUGCAUCCAAAACUGGCAAGCUAGAGUACGGUAGAGGGUGGUGGAAUUUCCUGUGUAGCGGUGAAAUGCGUAGAUAUAGGAAGGAACACCAGUGGCGAAGGCGACCACCUGGACUGAUACUGACACUGAGGUGCGAAAGCGUGGGGAGCAAACAGGAUUAGAUACCCAUGUAGUCCCUGAGCGGGCUGGCAAGGCGCAU